CGGUUAACUCUGAACCAAGUGGUCUUGAGCAGGGAGCGGUUGAUGAACCCAAGAACUAGGACUUGCUCUGUCCCCUGGGGCAGGGCUGUUCCUUGCUUGCGGAACAAGGGAGUCACCUCCUCCAGCCCAUGGUUCUAGAAGGAGCCAACCUGGGCACCAGAGGCUGCCUAGUGCCGGCUGGAGGUGUUUCUGGAGCUUGUACGGCUGCCGCCACCCAGCACCGAAAUGGAUCUUGCCUUGUCCCUGCACCCCCACGUUGGUAACGUCCAGUGGGUUGGGACCCCGAUGGGCAGAGCCUGCAUCCCUGCCUGAGCUGCAAGAGAGUCUGAGAAGGUGAGCCUCUGGCAUUUUCUUCCAUUGCAGGGUAAGGCAAGCUUUGUCUCAAAAGGUGAGGGCGUUCCUGAAAUGUAGGCAUUUAGAUGUGGGGCAGCCAAAAAGAAUAACAAAAAGAAUAAUUUCUGCUCAGAUUAACUUCUCAGGAAGUUGGGGAAGCAGAAAACAUGUUUAAUAGCAGUAAACGAAAACGAUUGAUUUGGGUCCAGGUUUGAUAUUUUCUUCCUGCUUUAGAAAAAUCCCAUCCUAACAGAUGCUCAGAUGCUGUUCGUGACCGUCUUUUUCUUUUUUUUUUUUAAUUGGAGUUCAAUUUGCCAACAUAUAACAUAUCACCCAGGGCUCAUCUGGUCAAUUGCCCCCCCCUCAGUGCCCAUCACUUAGUCCCCCAACCCUCCGCCCACCUCCCCUUCCACUACCCCUUGGAAGUUGGUUUCCCAGAGUUAGGAGUCUCUCAUGUUCUGUCUCCCUCACUGAUAUUUUCACUCAUUUUCUCUCCUUUCCACUUUAUUCCCUUUCACUAUUUUUUAUAUUCCCCAAAUAAA
rnacentral:lncRNA from 12 species